CCCUAGCCCUGAUUGAAAUGGAAAUCCUUUUUUGAGGUCAUUGUGAGGCACGAAGCAAUCCCGAAAAAAAGAUUGCAAUGGAAAGCAGGAUCAGCU
rnacentral:sRNA from 1 species